rnacentral:tRNA from 13 species
AUCCCUGUAGCGCAGUGGAUAGCGUGUUGGACUUUUAAUCCACAGGUCCCGGGUUCGAAUCACGUCAGGGUUG